UGUCAUCUCCUCCUUUUCUUUCUCUCUCUCAAAUUCCACAGAUCUAAGAUCUAGAUCUGCCCCUUUCUCUCGAUCACCUUUAAAUCAAAGAAGAAAAACAUGAAAUGCCAUGGAUUGAAGAUCUAGGGUUUAUGACAUCUUCUCUCAACGACCCAAUAACCCAUCCUUUUCUCUCUCCAGACGAUUUUGUAGAUCUAGGGUUUAUGGCAUCUACACUCAAAAUCGUUGAUGUUCCAGAAAUUGUUGUUCAAGUGCUUGAUCUGACACCAACCGGUAAUAGAUACAGAUCUGAGUCCUUUUCUCUCUCAAGGGAAGAUUUCAGCAUGUUUUCAUACAUUAUCUCUGCCGUACACGACGGCCGGAGUAACAGCGGCGGCCGGAGUAACACCGUGUGAGGCCACUGCUACAUCCUGUUGAGGGGAACUGUAGAGAUCAAUGGAGUCAUAAUCACUUCUUUUUCCACAGAAAUACUAAUGGAUUUUACCAAAAAAUCCCAGAUACAUUGACACUCGUGUGGAUGAACUGUUUCCCAGUAGGAAAAACAACAUGAGGCUUAAAAUGCUAUAUGUGAAAAAAAUGCUAAGGUCUGCAUCAAUGCAUCAUACAAUGUUCAUUUGCUAAAAUCUUGUUUGAUAAAAUGUGUUUCAAAUUUUGGUUUGCUAUUAUUAUUUUAGGAAAACAUUAAUGCUGAUCAUACUGAUGGUUUAAAUAACUCUUCUUUUUUCGUAAAGCUUGCUUCUGAUAGGCAACUGCAAUGUUCUGGGUACAUCAUAUGGUUUUUAUACAGCUAUACGCAUUUAUCUUUCUUAAUCUACAUGCUUUACUCAAUUGCCUCACUUUAUUGCGUUUUGCAGUGCAAAUGAUACGUGUGCUUCAACUUCAACUGCACAAUCUCACAUCAUAGCAAAAAAAUGUAGCGUAAGCACAUUUCGUAGUGUUAUGGAGCUAUCAGCAGGGGGUGAUAAAUCAUCUGGCUUUUCUAUUGAUAUGAGGAGAAUGAGCAGGAUAAAUGAGAAUGCGCGGUUGAUCGGGCUGGAAUACAUAGUAACUGAAGAACUGUUUUUAACUCUUCCGGACACCGAAAAACCGAUGUGGCAUAGCCACGAGUACGAGCUGAAGAGCGGCGUGCUCUUCCUUCCCGGUCCGGUUGAACAAAAAGAUCUCGAGAAAGUGGCGAAAACGUAUGGGAAGACCAUACACUUUUGGCAGGUAGAUAGAGGUGAUGAGCUGCCACUCGGGUUACCGCAGGUGAUGAUGGCGCUAACGUGACACGGGCACCUCUACCCGAGCCUCGCUAAAGGUUAUGGGACCUGCUGAUCUUCGGUACUUAUUUUUUUAGCAAUGGAUGUGAGCCGUCUAAAGUGAAUGAUCAAGGUGAAUGAUGAGCUAUCGAUGGGCUGUAGUUAGGAAGAGUUCCAAGACUUCCAAGUUAAAAUUCAAGUUUUAAAUGGUUUUUAGGACAAUCUUUAUGUGAAAUAUAGUCAGGAAGAGUUCCAAGACUGCAACGUUUUCCUAUUGUACUUUUUGCUUACUACAAAACCUACAUAAUAGGUUUCAUAAA